rnacentral:rRNA from 1 species
UACGUAGGGUGCGAGCGUUGUCCGGAAUUAUUGGGCGUAAAGAGCUCGUAGGCGGUGUGUCACGUCGUUCGUGAAAACCUGCAGCUUAACUGUGGGCGUGCGGUCGAUACGGGCAUCACUGGAGUUCGGCAGGGGAGACUGGAAUUCCUGGUGUAGCGGUGAAAUGCGCAGAUAUCAGGAGGAACACCAAUAGCGAAGGCAGCUCGCUGGGACGGUAUUGACGCUAAGGCGCGAAAGCGUGGGGAGCAAACAGG